GAUGAACGCUGGCGGCGUGCUUAACACAUGCAAGUCGAACGAAGCAUAAGAGUUGCUUGCAACACUUAUGACUUAGUGGCGGACGGGUGAGUAACGCGUGGGUAACCUACCCUGUACAGGGGGAUAACAGUUAGAAAUGACUGCUAAUACCGCAUAAGCACACACUGUCACAUGACAGAGGGUGAAAAGAUUUAUCGGUACAGGAUGGGCCCGCGUCUGAUUAGCUAGUUGGUGAGGUAAAGGCUUACCAAGGCGACGAUCAGUAGCCGGCUUGAGAGAGUGAACGGCCACAUUGGAACUGAGACACGGUCCAAACUCCUACGGGAGGCAGCAGUGGGGAAUAUUGCACAAUGGGGGAAACCCUGAUGUAGCGACGCCGCGUGAAGGAUGAAGUAUUUCGGUAUGUAAACUUCUAUCAGCAGGGAAGAUAAUGACGGUACCUGACUAAGAAGCCCCGGCUAACUACGUG
rnacentral:rRNA from 1 species